rnacentral:lncRNA from 1 species
CGCCUCGUUAUGAAAUUAAUAUGGCUGCGCCCAUGUAGUGAAAAAAUAUGAACCUGCCGAAACUAACACAGUCAAUACAUGGUAUAUCUUCAAUAUUUUCACAUCAAAUAUGAAAUAGAGAAACAUUUGAAAGCACCACAGAAUGUACUUGAUGACAUACAUGCACCAUGUAGGUGUACACUUGCAUCUUGACUCUGAGUGCACAAAUGCAUUCUAAUUUCAAACAAGUAAUAGCUUUUCUAAAAAGCUAGCCGUCUCUUAGCUUCUGAAUGAAAGUAGAAAGUGUUAAAAUUCAUAAAGGCUAAUACAAUUUUUCCUAAUUUACUAAUGUUUUUUUGGGAUAAUUUUAAAUACCAACACUGGAUUAGAAAGGGUGUAACUUAACUGUUUUUUAAAUUAAAUAUGAAAAUAUUUAUAAAAGUAUAUUUUAAACAUGGCUCUAGGAUAAUUAUUGUUUUUGCCAGUAUUUUAACUCUCUGUAUAGCAGUAAAAUUGUAGAUUUAAUAUUAAUGCAUACAUAUUACAUAUACUUGUAUGCAAUUGCAUAAAAAAAGCUAUAACAAAAAAAAGCACAUAAAUGUUUAGUGUGUAUCUACAAUGUAUAUAUGUCUGACAUGAUGACUCACCUCUCACACAUAAGAAACAAAGUGAAAUGUGGUUUUUCAAAUACAAUGUAUUAGUAGAAAUUGACAGUAGAGUUCUUGUUAAACUAUAUUAAUUAAUAUUGACAACACUAAAUGUAGUUUUAUUAUGGAUUUUUGUAUAAUUUCAGGUUCUGAAAAAAUCACAGGGGAUGAUAAAUUUAGACAAGAAGGAUCGACCACAAACAUGCUACACUUACUGGAACUUGAAAAACCUGCAAUUCACAAGAACAAGCCAAAGACUAGUAUUACCGCACAAAGUGGUUGAGGGUAUGGUCCCAGCUAUCCAAACCUGACAAAUUAUGGGUAACAAGCAAUCUUUACCAAAAAGGAACAUCAAGCCGACAUAUAUACGCUUUGCAGACUUUGAAAGUGAUAAUUUAUAAAUUUGGUUAAGGCUAUUGAAACAACUAAACUGUGAAAACGAGCAAUUUAAAAACACAUUCUUCGUCAAAACUGUGAUUCAUUGAAAGAAGACAUAGUGUGCGCCAAGUCAGUUGAGAGCUUCAAAACAGCUCACCAAGGCCUUCAAUACGAGUCAGCUCUCCCAUCAAGUUCAAGCCAGAAUUGGGACCUUCGAUGUAACAAUGCAGAUACAUAUAGCAUGAAAAGUUUUAUAUAAUGAACAUUUAUAUUUAUAUCUAUUGAUGUUUCAGUACAAGUAUGAUUAUUUGUUUUUGUUGUGAUCUAUGACAUACAUGUAUAGUAUAAACAAUUUUAAGAAAGUGUUAUCUGUAUACAUGACAGUUCCGUGAAAAUGUUAACCAACUUUUGUGUCAACUUAUUCAUUCAUCUAAAAACUGAUACAAGCCAAUAUUAGAAUUAGAAUUCAAUAGAUUAAGACUAUAAAAUCAGUUUUGACCUAGGCCUGUUCAAGUUUAUUAAGGUCAAAAUAAGAUAAAACAAAGUUUCAUAAUAUAAAAUAUCAAUGUAGGAGCAAACGGUGAAAAUGAUUUAGAUCCUAGUGCAAUAUGAGAUGGGUGACAUGUAUUUAGAUCCUGGUGCUCUAGAGGGG